rnacentral:rRNA from 1 species
UACGUAGGGGGCUAGCGUUGUCCGGAAUCAUUGGGCGUAAAGAGCGUGUAGGCGGCCCGGUAAGUCCGCUGUGAAAGUCGGGGGCUCAACCCUCGAAAGCCGGUGGAUACUGUCGGGCUAGAGUGCGGAAGAGGCGAGUGGAAUUCCUGGUGUAGCGGUGAAAUGCGCAGGAUAUCAGGAGGAACACCGAUUGCGAAGGCAGCUCGCUGGG